AUGCUCCUGCUGCUUCCUGCCAUACUCUACAUUUCCCACCGCAUCGUGCGGCGUACUCUGCCCAAGAAGAAGCCGAGCAGCCAUGGCCUCACCAGCCACCCGCUGCUCGGCCACCUCCAUGCGUUCCUCAAGAACCGCCACCGCUUCCUCGACUGGUCGACCGACCUCAUCGUCGGCAGCCCGGAGCGGAGGAUGGGCUUCUGGAUCCCCGGGAUGAUCACGUGCAUCAUCACGGGCAACCCGGCCGACGUCGAGCACGUCCUGCGCACCAACUUCGCCAACUACCCCAAAGGCGACAGCACCAUCCCCGUCAUGGGCGACUUCCUCGGCCACGGCAUCUUCAACUCCGACGGGGAGCAAGAGCGCCAGCCCGGCGGCCACAAGGUUCUCGACAUGCAGGACGUGCUCGAGCGAUUCGCGUUCGAUACCGUCUGCAUGAUCUCCUUCGGCCACGACCCAUGCUCCCUCGCCGACGACGGGGUAUUGACAGAUGGCAAGUCAGACUUCAUGCGACCUUCUGUCAAGGCUCUUGGCGAGCGGCGGUCUGGGAAUAACAACAGAGGCGACCUUCUGUCAAGGCUCUUGGCGAGCGGCGAUCACAGCGACGAGGCGCUCCAGGACAUCGUCCUCAGUUUCCUGCUCGCCGGCCGCGAGACAACAUCCUCGGCGCUGACGUGGUUCUUCUGGCUCGUGUCGUCUCGACCGAACGUUGUCGCACGGAUCGUCGACGAGGUCCGCUCGGUCGGUCCACAACGGGCACCCACCCUGGCGAUCCGUUCACGUUCGAUGAUCUCCGGAGCAUGCAGUACCUGCACGCCGCGCUCACCGAGUCGAUGA
rnacentral:rRNA from 1 species